ACUUUAGUGGAACCAGUGCUGAGCAGUGACUAGAUGCCAUGCAGAGACCCAGUUAAUGGCACAAACCCUUACUUACAACCUGCGAACCAGGCCUGAGUACUCCAGGCUUCAUAACCACAACAGCAAAAUUAAUCUUAUCCCAUUUACUAAGUGGUUAGUUAUCUGUACAUUGUAUAUUUCUCAAAUGUAUUGCCUACGAUAUUAAGCUGGUCAUCGGAAUCCCGUUAGAUGUUACAUU